UAGCUAGCCAGCCUCGCAUGAUGAAUCCACUCUCUGAAGGAUCGCCGUGAUGAGCUUUCCUAACCCUCUAAGAAGUUGACUGAAGAGGCUUAUCUGCU